GACGGAGGGUGCUAGCGUUGUUCGGAAUUACUGGGCGUAAAGCGCACGUAGGCGGCUUCCCAAGUCAGAGGUGAAAGCCCGGGGCUCAACCCCGGAACUGCCUUUGAAACUAGGAAGCUAGAAUCUUGGAGAGGUCAGUGGAAUUCCGAGUGUAGAGGUGAAAUUCGUAGAUAUUCGGAAGAACACCAGUGGCGAAGGCGACUGACUGGACAAGUAUUGACGCUGAGGUGCGAAAGCGUGGGGAGCAAGCAGG
rnacentral:rRNA from 1 species